GUGGCCUCAUGCUGCCCUCUGUUUCUUGGCGAUUUAGAAUCGGGCUCCAUUGGAUCCGGGGGUUGUUUCUUCUCCGCGGCCCGGUGGUGGAGCGCCUAUCCCUGCAGCGGCUAUUGCGAGAGAUGGAGCGAGGGCUAGAUGAGAUGGAGCGAGGAGACGGGCUGCCCCGAGGAGACAGUGCUUCAAAUCGGGGAGGUUCAGGUUCUGCCACCACAUUCGCAAUUAUAGUGGAAUUUUUUCCCUGUAAAGCCAAGCUCAGUGAUGGCAGUGUCCAAGACAUUGAUAGAGAUACCACCGUGAGGUUGGAUGUCGAUUUUGCA